rnacentral:tRNA from 5 species
GCCGGGGUGGCCGAGCGGUCUAAGGCGGCGGGCCGCAGACCCGUUAUUUUCGCGGGUUCAAAUCCCGCCCCCGGCU